rnacentral:lncRNA from 1 species
GUAACUGACAUCUGAUAAUUUUAUGUAAAAGAGGUAUGAUUUUUUAAAUCAUGAAAGGGCUCGAGAUGCCCGAUUGCAGAAGAUUGGGGAGUUGUAUCAGAAUUACAAGGUCAAAUACCAUAGAGGGUGGCUAGAGCACCGUAGGGACACUGAGGAGGAGCUUGUUCCUUAGAUCCAUAACUAUCCCCCGAGUUAGUGGGAGGGGAUGAUCAGGCAUUGGAGGAGCCAAGAGUUUCAAAUUUAAUUUGUAACUUAUAAAUUUUUUAUUGCACUGACAAUUAUAUUUGAUUUUAAUUUAUAUAGUUUAAAUACCUUUUAGGCUGCCUUCCAUCAAAAUCAGG